rnacentral:sRNA from 1 species
UUUUGACUUCCGCGCGUACACACGGGAAAUACUUAGCAAGCAGAGAGACAUUUUGCUGAGGUUCUAAAUGUCUGCAACUGUGACUGUUGCUGUAGAGGGCAGAUGGUUUCAUUUGUCCAGCUGUACAACCUGCUUUCUAUGUUUCAACCUCAUCAUCCUUUUAUGUUUUUCACCUGGUAGGUGGUUAGUUACAUACACUGCAAUGCAGAAGCACAUGAAUCUUUGAGCUUGAUGAAGAAGAGCAGAAGUUUCAUAUUGUUGAAUUCAGAUGUCUUCAACAAUCAUUUUCUUCUCUUUUCUUGUCUGUCUUUCUGUCUGCUGGCUUAUCAUUUCCACAUCUAACUACCCACUAAGACACACACUUCUGGACAUGACUUGCUAACUAUCUAGUAUUGUUAUAUCAUUUCUAUCUUUUUUUUUUUGUUUUUGCUGUGGACAAGGUCUCCCUGUGAGUGAGGUGAAUGGUCAACUGCAAUUCAUUCAUUUCAUUGACCAACAUUCAGUAUAAAAUGACUCCUUUUGCUUUUGCUUUUAAUUUUUAUUUAUUUCACAUGUUUUUUCUACACUUGAUGGCUCAGUUGAUUGGGCAAUUUUGAUCUUGCGCUUCUCAAUUUUGAUGGAUGUAUCUACAUUGGUUCUUAGUAAUUCCUUUCUUUUCCCCAUCCUUCAUCUGAGGUGUUAUUUACAUAAGAGACACUGUCAAAAAAUGAGAGCAAAUCAAAAACAGCAUAAAAACUGUUUCAGCACUCCGACACAGCGCGCGUCGUUAUUUUCAUUUUGCUAUUUCCC